rnacentral:rRNA from 1 species
UACGUAGGGUGCAAGCGUUAUCCGGAAUUAUUGGGCGUAAAGAGCUCGUAGGCGGUUUGUCGCGUCUGCUGUGAAAACCGGAGGCUCAACCUCCGGCCUGCAGUGGGUACGGGCAAACUAGAGUGCGGUAGGGGAGAUUGGAAUUCCUGGUGUAGCGGUGGAAUGCGCAGAUAUCAGGAAGAACACCAAUGGCGAAAGCAGCUCUCUGGGACGGUACUGACGCUGAGACGCGAAAGCGUGGGGAGCGAACAGG